rnacentral:tRNA from 1 species
AUCUUUUUAGUAUAUUAGUAUAUUUGGCUUCCAACUAAAAGGUUUAGAAAAUCUAAAAAAGAUA